AAGCUCGUAGUUGAAUUUCGGGCCGGGUCGGGCGGUCGCUCGCAAGGGUUGCACUGCUUGCGCCUGGCCUUUCCUUCUAGGGAUCCAGAGUACUCUUAGCUGAGUGCUCUGGGGAACUAGGACGUUUACUUUGAAAAAAUUAGAGUGUUUAAAGCAGGCCUUUGCUUGAAUACUUCAGCAUGGAAUAAUAGAAUAGGACUUUGGUUCUAUUUUGUUGGUUCCUAGGACCGAGGUAAUGAUUAAUAGGGAUAGUUGGG
rnacentral:rRNA from 1 species